CACCACGCCCAGCCCCCACUAAGCCUUAUUUCAACAGUCCUGGCCCCCGCUAAGCCCUUUUUCAACAGAGAAACUGAGUCACAGCAAAUAGCCUAACAGCCACCAUCCAUACGUGGAGAUCAUGUCUGAAAUAGCUAUCCUGCUAAGCCUGGGAUCACUUAAGUUCUCCUUAAAAGCAAGCCCUGGGUGCCUCAUCUCCCUCACACCAAGCAGUCUCCAAGGUGUUUUGCUAGAUAAAAGGCCAUCUCCUCCUGAGAGAAUCAUGUCGUCCCCUGCCCUCACCCCCAGCAGAAGCAGCAGUUCCUCUGAUCAUAUGUGGCUGUAUAUCAGCAGUUUCUCCUACACUUCAAGAAGAAUCAUGAUGCAACAGUGAGCUGCAGGCAUGGAGGUUCUUCUAGCAAUGGAAGAUGAACAGAGUGUGCUGGAAGCCUCAGGAAGGAGCACUGGAGUCUGCAUGCAGGAAAGGGCAGGUGGGGGAAGCGGCCACCACAGCAGAUGCAGAGCCUGAGCAAGACAACACAAGAGAGAAAUCUGCCAUGUGGGCAAGCAGGACAGGACAUUUCCAGGGAAGAGCAGAGGCUACAACACAGAGGUGUGAGAGAGCCUGGUUUUCCUAGGACUUUAAGGUCACAAAGAGCCCACCCCAGCCCCAGGAGAACUGAGAGGGGGUCUGUGAGAAGCUCUAAGUAUCUCUUCUUUACAGUUCCCUCUGGUAAUCUGAAAUUCCCUCCAGUCUAUAGAAAGACAGAUGCUGGGAAUCAGUGUCCGCCACCCCAACCCAAACCCAGCAGGGUUCAGGAAUUAUUAGCUGUCCAGAAUCACUGCUCAUGAAGUGCUGCAGGGAGUGGCCAGAGGCUGGCGGGUAGCCUGGACCAUACCAACAUGGCCUUAUCUGCUGUAUGUCAUCUCCCAAAGGUGAUGGGAGCUACUGAAGAACGUUGAGCAGGAGGUGACACCGGGAAGGUCACUCUGAACCAUGGAGGGUUAGGAGCAGAGAGGAGGGCACAAUGAGGCAAAAGUGCCUGUAAGGAGUUUCCCCUGUAAGGAUUCACCCCAAAACUCUGGCUAGGGCAGCAAGGAUGGAAAAAAAGAGAGGGACUCAAGAGAUGUUUAGGAGGUGACACAUAGGGCCUUAUGAUUAACUACAUAUGACAGACAAAAGGAAAGACGGAUUCAAGCUUGACCCAGGGUUCCAGCCUGGGCAGCUGGCUGGCUGGUGGUGUCAUUCUAGAGGCUGAGAACAAGAGAGAGAGAAGUUUGCAGAAGAGAGAAGCUCACUUUGGGUUUGAGGUCUGGGAUAUCUAAGGCAAGACACCCAAGAAGUAUGGAUAUCAGGAAAGAAAGCCAGUCUGGAGAGAGAGAUUGGGAGUCAGCCGACUAUAAGAAGGCACAUUUCCCAGGCAACAGGAGCCUGGAGUCAAAAAUAGCAUGACAGUGAGUCACCCAGGACAGCCUUUCUCUGCCUCUGCCUCCUCCCACUAUUAGGGAACU